rnacentral:sRNA from 1 species
UUUUAGCCCUGAUUGAAGCAAGUAUCCUUUUUGUCUUUUGACGAUUUGCAUCUCUCCCGAAACUUCGGGAUGCCACGAUGUGACAAAAAGAUACUGCGAAAAGCGGGAAAAUGG